rnacentral:lncRNA from 1 species
CGAUGCUGCUCGUCCCAGAAGCACACUUAGAGUAGCUCGCAUUAGGGCCGGUCCGCCAGAACCCAACGUGUCUCUCUGAGGACUGACUCAGAGCAGCUAAGACACCAGCCACCUUCAUUCAAAGGACCUGAACCUGGCUAAGCUGAUGGUUACUACCACCAAAUGGGCUCAUUUUUGGUGUUUUCUGGUGUCUGUGUAACUCCUAGCACUUGUCAUGUUGCCACAGGAAGACCUGAAGACCUGGAUCUACGAAUACCAAUAUCUUCACUGUUUUGUUGUAGAUAUUUUCAGGGGUAAUAAUGUAAACCUCUUUUCAGCCUCCAAGUUGGAAACGAAACAUGGAUUCCCUGGAAUAGCCCGUUGUCAGAAGUAGCAAGCACACUCCUCUGGCGAGGGUCUGCAGGCCACACAGUCUCCUCCCUGAGCUGGCUGGCAGAUACAGAUGCGCAAGCCAGGAAAGCAAUAAAAGUAUGAAAUAGAGAUAUUAAGGAUGCAAGGAAGUUGUUUACCGCAAAUAUUGUCUCCAAGUUGUCUGCACGACACAAGCCUGGCGCUACAUUCUAAAGGCACCAGUACUAACAGGAGAAAUUUUAAAUGUCAAGAAAAUUCAAAAGAAGACAAGGAAAUGAUUUUCAGCAAAGUCUCACAGCAUCCCUUCGAAAAGCCUGAGGUGAAAAUGAGAAUUUCCUGGAAAUUCGGCUGGCAAUACGUUCCUACACCAACAUUUUAACCCACUGCUCUCCCAAUGCUUCUUACUUUAUUCACUCCUGACUGAAUUUCCCAGGUCCCUCUCCACUUAUUUCCAGCUGUCACAAACACGGACUUUGGAGUCAUAAAGUGCCAGGUUUGAUUCUCAUCUAUACGACUGAUUUAGCUGUGUGACCUUGAGCAAAUUACCAUCCUCUCUGAGCUUCUGCUUCCCUGUCUCUUAAAUGGAGAUAAUAAAACCUAUGUCCUAGGGGUCAAGAAAGAUUAAACAAAGUAUUCAAAUGCAUAGCAUGCAACAAGGCUCAAAAACAAUUUGUUAAAUUUUAUUUUAUUGUGGUAGGACACAACACAAGAUCUACUCUCUUAACAAAUUGUU